ensembl:lncRNA
ACACAUUCUUAUUUACAAUGUUAUGUAUUGCUCAUCAUUGUUGUCGGCUGUUGUUUACUUAUUUAUUUGUUGUCUCAUCACAUUAUUUUACAAAAAAAACCGGAAACGUAGCUAAUACAUCAGUAUUUAUUGUUUCGACGGGUCUUUUUAGUGGUAUGGGGUUCCAGUAUGGCGUCGCUGGUCGCAUUGAUUGACAGAUCAUCCCUGAAGUUGUUUUAUUACGUAAAAGUUCUUUCACAUUAUGACGUUGGCUGAGUUACCGUAUAAAAUGCGAUAGCCUUAUCUCUUUGGUAAUCACUUGGUUAAGUUUUACGUGAUGAGAACAUAAGCUCCAGUCAUAGACUUUAACCAUGGAGGAUAAUAAGGAUAAUAAGAGUUUAAACGAAGAUGAUCCACAUGAUCAUCAAAGUUUGGAAGGUCAAGUCCAGAAAAUGAAGAAAGAUAUCCUGAGUUUAAACUAUCCAGAAGAUAGUGAAGUGAAGGAUCCCCUGCAUCAGAUCGAGCUGAAGGCUGUGACAAGGAGAAAAGUUAAGGUGAGACAAUAGAUUGAGGAGAGAAAGGGAAAUCUGGGGUCUUACCUGUCCACACUCCAAACCUGUCCAAUAUGCCAUACAACAUGCUGUUGUGAGGUUGGAGGGUAAAUUGUCCUUACAACAGACUUCCAUAAUAAUAUUCAAUCACCAAUCGUUUACCCUAGCUCUUCUCAAAGGCCUGUAUAGCAACGGCAACAUACAGUAUGUCACUGACUGUAUUGUCUUUUUAGACAAAGAGGAGGACCGGUGCCAACAGGUCCACAGUUGAACAGAGCACUGAUACUGAUGCAGCUGAGAGAGAUUUUGUUGAUAAUCAGAAUGAUGAAGAUGAGGAAGAGGUGAAGAAGGAUCCCCUGCCUCAGAUGGAGCAGGAUGCCGUGAAGAGAAAUAAAGUCAAGGUAAGGGAAUAGAUUGAGCAGAGAUGUGGAUAUUUGUGAUAUCUUUCAUGUCUAUAACCUGACCCUACAGCAUGUUGUUCUGAGGAAGGUAAAUUGCCCAUACAAUACCCUUUUAUCUCCUAAUAGUAAAUCUAGGGCUGACCCCAUUUGGUCGAUUGUUUGGUCGAUAGGCUAUUGGUUGACUGGGAUUUCUUAAGUCGAGCAGUCGCAAAAGUUUUUUUUCUUCAUGGUGCACAUGGACACCUGUCUGAUUCGCGCCUGUCACAGUUGACUAAUCCAUUGCCGAGGCCACAGUGAUGGCACAGUCCAUCACGCUAAGACGUGAUACUGAAAUUGUAUAUGGUUAUAUUAUGUAAAAAUAAUGGUGCAACACUAAUCAAUCAAAUAUUAUUUUAUAACAAAUGUGCUUUCUCCCGCGUUGGAUACGGUCGCUGUCCGUGGUUCUGAAACAUAAUCUUCAGUGCGCCGUAGAAUUGGGGCCCUUCCCUAUGUUGGUAUGUGCAUAAUAGCAAAGUUAACCAGCAUAUUGGGAUUGAGAACAAUGCUGCAGAGGCAGCAGCAGCAGCAGAGACGGGGAAACAGCCCUUGCCUUAGCCUAAUUGUCUAAGAAGAUUGAGGAGAGAAGAAAACACAACUUAAUUAGGUCUAUAAUCAAUAGCCUAAUUGUUAAAUGUGCCUGGCUUUGUAAAUCAUCCAUAUAUAUAUUACCAGUCAAAAGGGUUUUUCUUUAUUUUUACUAUUUUCUACAUUGUAGAAUAG